GGCGGCGUGCCUAAUACAUGCAAGUCGAACGCGCAGCGAGAGGUGCUUGCACCUUUCAAGCGAGUGGCGAACGGGUGAGUAACACGUGGAUAACCUGCCUCAAGGCUGGGGAUAACAUUUGGAAACAGAUGCUAAUACCGAAUAAAACUUAGUAUCGCAUGAUAUCAAGUUAAAAGGCGCUACGGCGUCACCUAGAGAUGGAUCCGCGGUGCAUUAGUUAGUUGGUGGGGUAAAGGCUUACCAAGACGAUGAUGCAUAGCCGAGUUGAGAGACUGAUCGGCCACAUUGGGACUGAGACACGGCCCAAACUCCUACGGGAGGCUGCAGUAGGGAAUCUUCCACAAUGGGCGCAAGCCUGAUGGAGCAACGCCGCGUGUGUGAUGAAGGCUUUCGGGUCGUAAAGCACUGUUGUA
rnacentral:rRNA from 1 species